rnacentral:lncRNA from 1 species
AGCAGAGUGGACUCUCCCCAGACACUGAGCCAACCUUGCCUCCGGCCUGCCUGCAAGAAAGAAAAUUUCUCUUGUUUAUAAGCUAUUGUAUUUUAUUUUAACAGCUCAAACAGACUACGACAAGUAAUAUUAGCGAUCAGUCCUGGAACAGAGAUGCCACAAAUGUCAUAUUUCCAGAUGCGUACCACCCAGAAGGUAAGCGGAGCUGACAUAUAAUGCCAACUAU